rnacentral:rRNA from 1 species
GACGAACGCUGGCGGCGUGCCUAAUACAUGCAAGUCGAACGCAGUGGGGACGGGUGAGUAACACGUGGGUAACCUCCCAUCAGAGGGGAUAACACUUGGAAACAGGUGCUAAACCGAUACUGAUGGAUGGACCCGCGGUGCAUUAGCUAGUUGGUGAGGUAACGGCUCACCAAGGCCACGAUGCAUAGCCUAACUGAGGAGGUGAUCGGGCAAACUGGGAAUGGAAAACGGGCCAGACUCCUACGGGAGGCAACAGGAGGGAAACUUCGGCAAAGGAAGGAAAGCUGACCGAGCAACGACGCGUGAGUGAAGAAAGGUUUCGGAACGUAAAGCUCUGGUGUUAAGGCGGUAACUAACCAGAAAGGGACGGCUAACUACGUGCCAGCAGCCGCGGUAAUAC